AUACGGAGGGUGCAAGCGUUAAUCGGAAUUACUGGGCGUAAAGGGCGCGUAGGCGGUCCAAUAAGUCGGGUGUGAAAGCCCCAAGCUCAACUUGGGAAUUGCAUUCGAUACUGUUGGACUGGAGUGUGGUAGAGGGAAGCGGAAUUCCGGGUGUAGCGGUGAAAUGCGUAGAUAUCCGGAGGAACACCGGUGGCGAAGGCGGCUUCCUGGACCGAUUCUGACGCUGAGGCGCGAAAGCUAGGGUAGCAAACGGGAUUAGAUACCCCGGUAGUCC
rnacentral:rRNA from 1 species